rnacentral:rRNA from 1 species
AAUGAACGCUGGCGGCAUGCCUAACACAUGCAAGUCGAACGAAGGCUUCGGCCUUAGUGGCGCACGGGUGCGUAACGCGUGGGAAUCUGCCCUUGGGUUCGGAAUAACUCAGAGAAAUUUGAGCUAAUACCGGAUGAUGUCGUAAGACCAAAGAUUUAUCGCCCAAGGAUGAGCCCGCGUAGGAUUAGGUAGUUGGUGAGGUAAAGGCUCACCAAGCCGACGAUCCUUAGCUGGUCUGAGAGGAUGAUCAGCCACACUGGGACUGAGACACGGACCGGACUCCUACGGGAGGCAGCAGUGGGGAAUAUUGGACAAUGGGCGAAAGCCUGAUCCAGCAAUGCCGCGUGAGUGAUGAAGGCCUUAGGGUUGUAAAGCUCUUUUACCCGGGAUGAUAAUGACAGUACCGGGAGAAUAAGCUCCGGCUAACUUCGUGCCAGCCGCCGCAGUAAUA